rnacentral:rRNA from 1 species
AUAAACUCCGAAUGCCAACGAGAUAUAAUCGGCAGUCAGACUGCGAGUGCUAAGAUCCGUAGUCGAAAGGGAAACAGCCCAGACCACCAGCUAAGGUCCCAAAAUAUAUGUUAAGUGGAAAAGGAUGUGGGGUUGCACAGACAACUAGGAUGUUAGCUUAGAAGCAGCUAUUCAUUCAAAGAGUGCGUAAUAGCUCACUAGUCGAGUGACCCUGCGCCGAAAAUGUACCGGGGCUAAAACAUAUUACCGAAGCUGUGGAUGACACGUUAGUGUCAUGGUAGGAGAGCGUUCUAGGUGUGAAGGAGGUGUACCGUGAGGAGCGCUGGAACGCAUAGAAGUGAGAAUGCCGGUAUGAGUAGCGAAAGACAGGUGAGAAUCCUGUCCACCGUAAGACUAAGGUUUCCAGGGGAAGGCUCGUCCGCCCUGGGUUAGUCGGGACCUAAGGAGAGACCG